rnacentral:misc_RNA from 1 species
AAGUAGUUAAGGGCCUCUUCUCCACUGAUAAAAGAAAAAGGAAAAGAAAAGGAUCAAAUUGCUUCCAAAUAGAAAGGCAUAGCUUUCUUAUUGAUGUCAAGGACCAGUAAGCGUUACACAAUGAAAAAAAUAAUCAUCAGCUUCACUAAACAUUCAUCAAUCUAAGUAAAUUGAAAUUCAUCAAGUUUGAUUAAGAGAGAAUAUUAAGAAACAAUUACAAAUAAGAAUGGCAAGCUCCAAGCAUCAUAUUCUCCAUAUUUUUGGGGAUAAAAAACAAUUUAGGGAAAAC